AAGGAGCUUGCUCCUUUGACGUUAGCGGCGGACGGGUGAGUAACACGUGGGUAACCUACCUAUAAGACUGGGAUAACUUCGGGAAACCGGAGCUAAUACCGGAUAAUAUUUCGAACCGCAUGGUUCGAUAGUGAAAGAUGGUUUUGCUAUCACUUAUAGAUGGACCCGCGCCGUAUUAGCUAGUUGGUAAGGUAACGGCUUACCAAGGCGACGAUACGUAGCCGACCUGAGAGGGUGAUCGGCCACACUGGAACUGAGACACGGUCCAGACUCCUACGGGAGGCAGCAGUAGGGAAUCUUCCGCAAUGGGCGAAAGCCUGACGGAGCAACGCCGCGUGAGUGAUGAAGGUCUUCGGAUCGUAAAACUCUGUUAUUAGGGAAGAACAUACGUGUAAGUAACUGUGCACGUCUUGACGGUACCUAAUCAGAAAGCCACGGCUAACUACGUGCCAGCAGCCGCGGUAAUACGUAGGUGGCAAGCGUUAUCCGGAAUUAUUGGGCGUAAAGCGCGCGUAGGCGGUUUUUUAAGUCUGAUGUGAAAGCCCACGGCUCAACCGUGGAGGGUCAUUGGAAACUGGAAAACUUGAGUGCAGAAGAGGAAAGUGGAAUUCCAUGUGUAGCGGUGAAAUGCGCAGAGAUAUGGAGGAACACCAGUGGCGAAGGCGACUUUCUGGUCUGUAACUGACGCUGAUGUGCGAAAGCGUGGGGAUCAAACAGGAUUAGAUACCCUGGUAGUCCACGCCGUAAACGAUGAGUGCUAAGUGUUAGGGGGUUUCCGCCCCUUAGUGCUGCAGCUAACGCAUUAAGCACUCCGCCUGGGGAGUACGACCGCAAGGUUGAAACUCAAAGGAAUUGACGGGGACCCGCACAAGCGGUGGAGCAUGUGGUUUAAUUCGAAGCAACGCGAAGAACCUUACCAAAUCUUGACAUCCUUUGACAACUCUAGAGAUAGAGCCUUCCCCUUCGGGGGACAAAGUGACAGGUGGUGCAUGGUUGUCGUCAGCUCGUGUCGUGAGAUGUUGGGUUAAGUCCCGCAACGAGCGCAACCCUUAAGCUUAGUUGCCAUCAUUAAGUUGGGCACUCUAAGUUGACUGCCGGUGACAAACCGGAGGAAGGUGGGGAUGACGUCAAAUCAUCAUGCCCCUUAUGAUUUGGGCUACACACGUGCUACAAUGGACAAUACAAAGGGUAGCGAAACCGCGAGGUCAAGCAAAUCCCAUAAAGUUGUUCUCAGUUCGGAUUGUAGUCUGCAACUCGACUACAUGAAGCUGGAAUCGCUAGUAAUCGUAGAUCAGCAUGCUACGGUGAAUACGUUCCCGGGUCUUGUACACACCGCCCGUCACACCACGAGAGUUUGUAACACCCGAAGCCGGUGGAGUAACCAUUGGAGCUAG
rnacentral:rRNA from 1 species